CAGAGGCUCCACCAUCAGCUCUCUGUCAUCUGUGGCCUUCUCUUGAAAAAUAAUAAUAAUCCAUAAGCAAAGGAGCAGAAACAUUAUGGUUUGCCUGUGAAUAAUGACUUGGGACAGGGGGAAAAGAGACACCCACGCCUGGGUAAUGACACGGCUGCGAUCUGUCCCCGUCGCUUCGCAUCUCCCCAAGAAGUUCAUACAUAUUUAAAAAGGCCAAGAGCUCCAUUCUUCCUCACUUCUUAUAAUAUCAGAAGAUUAGAGUCCAUCAGGGAGAUAAAGGCAAAGAAAGCAUCACAGGGAGGGGGAAAUGUCACUCUGUGAUUUAAUCCUGUCUCUCUAAAGGGGUUUUUUGCCAGGUGGGAUGGGCCGUCCGGCCUGGGCCGUGUGAGGGGUUUGGAGCAGGCCCAGGGCUCAGGCUCCGGGAGGCCAGCAGGGAUCUGCUUUCAAUGUCCUCAUUGUCCUCCCUGCACAAAUCAGCCUGGAAAACUAUUAAUUAUGAACCAGAGCUCCCUGCAACAGGAGGAAAAGCCACCCCAACUCGUUCUGCUGGUUUGGGUCUGCCCUGGCAGUAGAGAUGGAAUAUUUUUUUUCCUCUCACAAGGAAAUGGAUGAAGAAAGUCAGCCCCAGCCACACCAUGAAUACAGAGUUCUUCCAAAGGCUGAAAGAGGAUUGGGGAGAUCCUCCAUGUAUCCUUCCAGGUGGAUAUGAGGUGACAAAGACAGCACUGCCAAGGAGUUCACCAUACCCAAAUUCAUACCAAAAAACAGGAAUAAAGGCAAAGCAUAACCUGCCAUCCAGAGAGGCAAGCUCAGCCCCAGUGUUUCUAUCCCACAGGGAGGCCCAGACAUUGAAUUUCUCCAUGUCAGCUCUUUUUGAACCAGGGAAAAGCCAGCUGGAGCGGGAGGGGACAAAAAACACUGGUUCUCCAUUAAUUUUAAAGCUGUUCAAAAGCUCACUGCUCCACACUCAUGCAUCCACAUGCAGCAUGUGCAGCUCUUUUCUCUCUGCCAUGCUCCAGCAGCUCCUGUGUCUUUAGGGGCCAGGGUCCCACCACUGCUAACAGGGAUUUAAUUUGCUCUGGCUAAUAUUUUAUCCAUGGUAUUAGGUCAUGUUUCUCUUUCCACUUGAAAGACAUCUCCAGCUUAUUGGCAGCAGUGAAAUUAAUAGAGAAAUCAUUAGAAAGCAUAAGGCUGAGGCCGUGCAAAUCGCACGGCACACGAGAUUAUUUCCAAACAAUAAAAUUAAUUGGUGUCAUCAGCCGCAAGCAGCGACGCCGGGAGAGCUGGCAUUAAAAAACAUGGAAGAUUAUUGACAGCCCCAUGCCUCCUCAUACAUAAAACAUUUGAUGGUGUGGUUUUAUUUGAUUAUUUCCUAUGCAUGAAGGCUCUCCCCUGCACAGGGGGUUGGAGCAGACGCAGCUGGGAUGGCGAUCCCACAGCCAGGAAUCAUCUGGAGCCUCAGGAAUUGGUCCUGAGGCUUGAGACAGAAUUAACCAGGCUGAUUUUCAGUGAAAGUGGCUCCUUUUGGACACCUGGGAUGCAGGGAUUUGCCUGUUGCAGGCACUUCUAGGGAAUAAAUCCUACUCAGUACUGGCACAACUCAUGGUCAGCUGAACCCUGAGCCAAGUACCUCCCAAUCCUCCAAAUUUCAGGUUCCAAUCUUCCUGUGCUCUCCCAUCUCAUCUUGGUGACCCACAGAAACCACACAAACAGGAACAGAGAAUUUUGAGCCUAGAAGUGGAGGUUUUUGGCCCUGGCUACACUAUCUUCCCCUCAAUAUUCAAAAACUGCUGAAAUGUUUGUAAACCUCACCCACCUGGGAGAGGCAGAUGAGGUGUGAUCAUCCCAGCAAAGCAGAGUGAAUACAC